ensembl:rRNA 5S_rRNA 5S ribosomal RNA
GUCUAUAGCCAUGCCACCCUGAACACGCCCGAUCUCAUCCAAUCUCAGAAACUAAUCAGGGACAAGCCUGGUUAGUACUGGGAUGGGAGACCACUUAAGAAUACCAGGUGCUGUAGGCA